rnacentral:lncRNA from 1 species
UCACUCAUGAUGCACCAAUGCCUUUUAAAUGAACUGUCCACUGCAAAUCUGACUUUUAAAAGGGAAUGUUCUGAUUAACUUAUGCCCAAAUAAUGUUGUUGACUCGUUCUAUACUCGCGUAUUUGUGGUCAAAGCAUAAAUUGGAGAAAAAAACACAAAAAAACACCUCAAACUUGUAUCUCAAACAGACCGUUUAUUUUUAUUUUUUGCUAUUUCCUCAUAGAGUAUGAUGUCAUACUCCUGUGGAGGAUGAGCUGGCCAUCAGCGGUCUAGAGGAGGAUGAGCUGGCCAAUCAGCGAUCUAUAUUUUUUAUGACCGGUAUACGCCCACACCAUUCUGUUGUUGUGGUACGCCCACUCCAUUUCAAUACAGAAAAGCAGCUUUUUAAACAUACUUAAAUAAAACAUUUUGGAAGGAAAACUUUCACUCGUACUGUAAGUAAUAACAGGUCAAAUUUCAUAGAAAUCUGUAAACACUGGAAAUUUACUUUCAAAUGUGUGAAAAUCUUUAAUUGAUUCUUCCCUCCAUUUUCUUCUGUGUAGGGCCCAUCGGGAUGGCUGGGGAUGGGAUGGUGACUCCUGUUGGGAAGCAGAAAAUGGAUGGCAAGGAGGAGAGCAUGCCCACCAAUGAACCUCCCAGACCCAAGGAUGGCUACAGUGGAUCCCAGUGUGUCUCCCAGCCCACCACCCCUGGUGCCAUGCCUGUCCCCUCUCCCCUGUCCCCCAGCCCAGCCAGCCUGUCCUCCUACCAUGGGGAUGACAGUGACAGCAUCAGCAGCCCCGUCUGGCCAAAGACUCCCUCCAGCCCUGUAUGUGACACUCUUCCUUUACAUUCCAACCAAUAUCUUCCAGUGUUUUAUUUGUUGUUGUUUUUUUAUCUUCAGUAUGAUGACUGAUGUGAGUAGUUGUGCCAGUUUGCAAGGUUGGAGCUAAUUCCAUAUAUCUCUCCAUCUCUUCCGAACUCAGAAGCCCAACUCGUCCACCAUGACUAACGAGCAAAUCACACGUCUGUAUGAUAUGGGUGGGGAGCCGGAGAGGCGUGGCUGGGUGGACCGUUACCUGUCCUUUAUGGAGGAGAGGGGUACACCUGUUCCCCACCUCCCUGCAGUGGGCAAGAAGCCCCUGGACCUCUACAGACUGUACAUGGUGGUCAAGGAGAUAGGGGGCCUGGCCAUGGUGAGAGACAACCACUGAGUUCAUUUCAUUGUGUCUUACAGGACUGAUAGACACUGCGAAGUGUUUUUCUCGUGUAUUGCAGGACAGAAAUAAUGUUGCGCUAUACAC